rnacentral:rRNA from 1 species
UACGGGGGGGGGCAAGCGUUGUUCGGAAUUACUGGGCGUAAAGGGCUCGUAGGCGGCCAACUAAGUCAGACGUGAAAUCCCUCGGCUUAACCGGGGAACUGCGUCUGAUACUGGAUGGCUUGAGUUUGGGAGAGGGAUGCGGAAUUCCAGGUGUAGCGGUGAAAUGCGUAGAUAUCUGGAGGAACACCGGUGGCGAAGGCGGCAUCCUGGACCAACAC